AUCAGAAGAAUUGUGUUUUUGGGAGCGAAAAACAAUUGUACAAAUUCUUAAGUGUAGCAGUUCUUGUUGUCUUUUAAAUGAAACUUUCUUUUUAAUGUCUGUUCAAUGGCUUUAGGUUAAUGUUGUAGUGGUAUUUGCUUCCUUUUUAUGGAUGUUGUUUAUGUAACAUUGAGGUAGCAUAUUUAAUAUGCUUAAUGUUUUGUUUCUUUAAAAGUUGUCUGUUAAAAUGUGCUUUGUAUUUAACCACAGUGCAAGACCAUUCCCAGAGCUCAUGUUGGCUAGGUUCUCCUGAAAUCUCAUUAGUGUUACUGUCUCAGCGUUCUGACAUCUCACACUCUCUCGCUAAAUCUUUCUCCCCUUGACUCUUAACCCUUCCUCAUGUCACACUCUGUAUUUCACCAGAGAAUGAUGAAUUUAAUCUCACACUCUUAACCGUCCCCUGAUUUUUGUUCCUCACUGGCACUUUAAAUGGCGUCCUACACGGUGGUCAUCGUCCCUCUCCAGAGCAGCAUCAACAGCCUGGAUGCCUUGCGAUUCUUUCUAUGGGUGAAAAAUCUACAGGAACUAGAGAGGGAGAGGGACGCACUGUGUCUGGGGCUUCAGGCUUUGGAACAGGCUUGGGCCUCCCUCUCCUAUAGACAGGAAAACAGCCCUAGGCAGGAAAUAAGCACUGCCCCUCUGUGGGCUCAGAUGCAGAGGAUAAACAGAACAUUGCACAGUCUAAUGUGUAGCACUCCCAGGAGUCCCAUGGGACGAGUGACGCCACGUUUCUGAAGUUUGCCCAGAUGAAACUGAUGAAUCAGUGACAAACUGAAGAUUUUUUCACUCUCUUCCCUUAUGUGUUUUUCUUUAUGACUAAACUGUAAUAAAAUGAAGCACCAAUAAUCA
rnacentral:lncRNA from 1 species